GAUGAACGCUAGCGGCAGGCCUAACACAUGCAAGUCGAGGGGUAGAGUUCUUCGGGACUUGAGGACCGGCGCACGGGUGCGUAACGCGUAUGCAAGUCUACCUUAUACAGGGGAAUAGCCCAGAGAAAUUUGGAUUAAUGCCCCAUAGUGUUAUCGAAUCGCAUGGUUUGAUAACUAAAGUUCCAACGGUAUAAGAUGAGCAUGCGUCCCAUUAGUUAGUUGGUAAGGUAACGGCUUACCAAGACAAUGAUGGGUAGGGUCCUGAGAGGGAGAUCCCCCAC
rnacentral:rRNA from 1 species